UGGGGAAUUUUGGACAAUGGGGGAAACCCUGAUCCAGCCAUCCCGCGUGUGCGAUGAAGGCCUUCGGGUUGUAAAGCACUUUUGGCAGGAAAGAAACGUCGCGGGUUAAUACCCCGCGGAACUGACGGUACCUGCAGAAUAAGCACCGGCUAACUACGUGCCAGCAGCCGCGGUAAUACGUAGGGUGCAAGCGUUAAUCGGAAUUACUGGGCGUAAAGCGUGCGCAGGCGGUUCGGAAAGAAAGAUGUGAAAUCCCAGAGCUUAACUUUGGAACUGCAUUUUUAACUACCGGGCUAGAGUGUGUCAGAGGGAGGUGGAAUUCCGCGUGUAGCAGUGAAAUGCGUAGAUAUGCGGAGGAACACCGAUGGCGAAGGCAGCCUCCUGGGAUAACACUGACGCUCAUGCACGAAAGCGUGGGGAGCAAACAGGAUUAGAUACCCUGGUAGUCCACGCCCUAAACGAUGUCAACUAGCUGUUGGGGUCUUCGGACCUUGGUAGCGCAGCUAACGCGUGAAGUUGACCGCCUGGGGAGUAC
rnacentral:rRNA from 1 species